AUCCCUGUGGUAUAAUGGUAGUAUACUUUACUCUUAUGGAUUGGGUAACUUAUGUAUAUCUGAUGUAGCAAGUUAUCUGACCUAGUAUUAAAGAGGUUGAGGGUUUAAUUCCUCCUAGGGGCA